UUUAUUUCUCUUCACCAAAAAGUGAUACAGACAAUCAGAAAAUAAGCCCAAAAUAAGAAAUGUUCAGCUGACCCAUAUUAGGAAGUUUAAGACUAGCUAAGUACUAGUCUUCCCCUAAAAUAGGGUUUCUUAAUUAGAGCUUCCCAUAAAUCCCAAUCCUACUCUCCGCCGUUCCCAUGUUUCUUGUUCCCUUCUCCUUGUCGUUACUCAUUUUCUUUCUCUGGUCAUUAAUGUGCUCCAUCCGUGGUUGUGGAAGUGUUGUAUUAGCUAACAGAGGUAUUUGCUUUUUGAUGUUGUUCCACCUCCAACUAAACUAGCAACUAACUUCAUCUUUUUUUCAGAUGUGAAAUCCGGUGGAGGCGUUUGUAGUUCAAGAUGAACUUUUUGUUGGGAUUUAACCAUGACACUCCUCCUGAAGGCUUUGAGGUAUAUCGACCUGCUGGAUCGAGUCUGCACUUCCAGUGAUUUAUCGGUUUGAGAUCCCCCACUUUUUGCUUGUCCUUUUUUGUGAGUUGAGGUAGCUCUAGGCUAAUAAGCUUCAAUACAACUAGAUCGUCUCUUAGAAGACAAAAUUCUUAUCUGUACAUAUUAUCGUUGUGUAUUUCUGAUUUGUAACUGCACUUAGCUUAGCUUAUUGGGUUAAUCCUCCUUGUUUUAAUUCUCAAUGACGGAAUUUGUUGUUUGUCUAUGUUAAUGUUCCGUCUUCCUUUGCUUGGUAGAUUGUAGAAACUUCCUACUUCUAUCUUUUCUGCUUGAUCUAGGGCCAUAUUUGCUAGAUAGUCUGUGAACUGAUUAGCUUCCUGAAAUAUAUUCCUUAUUUGAACUUGUUUCCUUGAUAUAUUCUGUUGUAUGUCCUCUAUCUUUUACAUUUGUG
rnacentral:lncRNA from 1 species